rnacentral:rRNA from 1 species
AACGAACGCUGGCGGCAGGCUUAACACAUGCAAGUCGAACGCCCCGCAAGGGGAGUGGCAGACGGGUGAGUAACGCGUGGGAACGUGCCCUUCGCUUCGGAAUAGCCCCGGGAAACUGGGAGUAAUGCCGGAUACGCCGUAUUGGGAAAGAUUUAUCGGCGAAGGAUCGGCCCGCGUUGGAUUAGCUAGUUGGCGGUGUAAUGGACCACCAAGGCGACGAUCCAUAGCUGGUCUGAGAGGAUGAUCAGCCACACUGGGACUGAGACACGGCCCAGACUCCUACGGGAGGCAGCGGUGGGGAAUCUUGGACAAUGGGCGCAAGCCUGAUCCAGCCAUGCCGCGUGAGUGAAGAAGGCCUUAGGGUUGUAAAACUCUUUCGCCGGAGAAGAUAAUGACGGUAUCCGGAGAAGAAGCCCCGGCUAACUUCGUGCCAGCCGCCGCCGUAAAAC